GUGGGGGAUAUUGCACAAUGGGCGAAAGCCUGAUGCAGCAACGCCGCGUGAGGGAUGACGGUUUUCGGAUUGUAAACCUCUGUCUUCGGUGAUGAUAAUGACAUUAGCCGAGGAGGAAGCCACGGCUAACUACGUGCCAGCAGCCGCGGUAAUACGUAGGUGGCAAGCGUUGUCCGGAUUUACUGGGUAUAAAGGGAGCGCAGGCGGGACAGCAAGUCAGCGGUGAAAUGUAUGGGCUUAACCCAUGAACUGCCGUUGAAACUGUUGUUCUUGAGUGAAGUAGAGGCAAGCGGAAUUCCGAGUGUAGCGGUGAAAUGCGUAGAUAUUCGGAGGAACACCAGUGGCGAAGGCGGCUUGCUGGGCUUUUACUGACGCUGAGGCUCGAAAGUGUGGGGAGCAAACAGG
rnacentral:rRNA from 1 species